rnacentral:rRNA from 1 species
UACGUAGGUGGCUAGCGUUGUCCGGAUUUACUGGGCGUAAAGAGCGCGCAGGCGGUCGUUCAAGUCGAGUGUGAAAGCCCCCGGCUCAACUGGGGAGGGUCACUCGAUACUGAUCGACUCGAAGGCAGGAGAGGGAAGCGGAAUUCCCGGUGUAGUGGUGAAAUGCGUAGAUAUCAGGAGGAAUACCGGUGGCGAAAGCGACUCUCUGGACGGCAACUGACGCUGAGGCACGAAAGCGUGGGGAGCAAACAGG